AGCGAACGCUGGCGGCAGGCCUAACACAUGCAAGUCGAACGAAGUCUUCGGACUUAGUGGCGGACGGGUGAGUAACACGUGGGAACGUGCCUUUAGGUUCGGAAUAACUCAGGGAAACUUGUGCUAAUACCGAAUGUGCCCUUCGGGGGAAAGACUUAUCGCCUUUAGAGCGGCCCGCGUCUGAUUAGCUAGUUGGUGAGGUAAAGGCUCACCAAGGCUACGAUCAGUAGCUGGUCUGAGAGGAUGACCAGCCACAUUGGGACUGAGACACGGCCCAAACUCCUACGGGAGGCAGCAGUGGGGAAUCUUGCGCAAUGGGCGAAAGCCUGACGCAGCCAUGCCGCGUGGAUGAUGAAGGUCUUAGGAUUGUAAAAUCCUUUCACCGGUGAAGAUAAUGACUGUAGCCGGAGAAGAAGCCCCGGCUAACUUCGUGCCAGCAGCCGCGGUAACAC
rnacentral:rRNA from 1 species